AGGGAAUCUUCGGCAAUGGACGAAAGUCUGACCGAGCAACGCCGCGUGAGUGAAGAAGGUUUUCGGAUCGUAAAACUCUGUUGUUAGAGAAGAAUGUUGAUUAGAGUGGAAAAUUAAUCAAGUGACGGUAUCUAACCAGAAAGGGACGGCUAACUACGUGCCAGCAGCCGCGGUAAUACGUAGGUCCCGAGCGUUGUCCGGAUUUAUUGGGCGUAAAGCGAGCGCAGGUGGUUUAAUAAGUCUGAUGUAAAAGGCAGUGGCUCAACCAUUGUGUGCAUUGGAAACUGUUAGACUUGAGUGCAGUAGAGGAGAGUGGAAUUCCAUGUGUAGCGGUGAAAUGCGUAGAUAUAUGGAGGAACACCGGUGGCGAAAGCGGCUCUCUGGACUGUCACUGACACUGAGGCUCGAAAGCGUGGGUAGCAAAC
rnacentral:rRNA from 1 species